CCAAUCUGGCAUCUAGGGCACACAUCUAACAAUCGGAUGCCAUCCCUCUUUACUGUGAUAAUAAUGGCAUCAUAGCCCUAGCUAAGGAGUCAAGAUUUCACCAGAAGUCUAAGCAUAUCGAGCGGCGAUUCCAUCAAUCCGUGAUUACCUCGAAAAGGGUUAUGUCGAGCUUAAAAGAGUCGACUCCACAGAUAAUGUGGCAGACCCACUGACAAAGCCAUUAGGCCAG
rnacentral:lncRNA from 1 species